GACGAACGCUGGCGGCGUGCCUAAUACAUGCAAGUCGAGCGGAAGUUGGAGAGCUUGCUCUUCAACUUUAGCGGCGGACGGGUGAGUAACACGUGGGCAACCUGCCCUGCAGAUCGGGAUAACUCCGGGAAACCGGUGCUAAUACCGAAUAGUUUUCGCCACCUCCUGGUGGCGUACGGAAAGACGGUUUCGGCUGUCACUGCAGAAUGGGCCCGCGGCGCAUUAGCUAGUUGGUGGGGUAACGGCCCACCAAGGCGACGAUGCGUAGCCGACCUGAGAGGGUGAUCGGCCACACUGGGACUGAGACACGGCCCAGACUCCUACGGGAGGCAGCAGUAGGGAAUCUUCCGCAAUGGACGAAAGUCUGACGGAGCAACGCCGCGUGAGUGACGAAGGUUUUCGGAUCGUAAAACUCUGUUGUGAGGGAAGAACAAGUACCACUUAACUACUGGUACCUUGACGGUACCUCACCAGAAAGCCACGGCUAACUUCGUGCCAGCCGCCGCAGUAAUAC
rnacentral:rRNA from 1 species